rnacentral:tRNA from 1 species
AUUUAUAUAGUUUAAAUAAAACAGUACAUUUUCAUUGUAAAAAUAAAAUAAUUUUUUAUAAAUA